AGGUUCCUGUGAAUCUCUCGCAUUAGCUAAUUGAGAUGCUGGAAGAGUUUCUGUCGUUUCUUCAGACUGUAUUUCUUCGACAGGUUUUUCAGUCACAGUCGUAACUGGAGCCUUGCCCUCUUCUUCAACCGUCUCUUCCUCGGUGACCUGUUG